rnacentral:lncRNA from 1 species
CUAUUAUCAUGCUGAAAGAAAAGGGAAAGAGCUGAGAACCAGGUAUAGCUUUUAAAAAACAGAAGAGGAAGAAGAAAGCAAAUCUGAAAAGAUGCUGAAGAGUAUGUGUUACAGGCAACUCAGCAAGGAAAAACUUCAGACUGAAUUUUAUUAAGUAAAAUGGAUAUGGUAAGUACCAUGAUCAUUAGGGAUGGAUUUUGGAUACAAAUACAGGUGUAUUAACAUGUAAAUGUUCCAAUUUAAUACAAUCAG